UUUAUACAUCUGUCUUUUAUCGGCGACAAUGGCAGAGCGGAUGACCCGUUCCAAAUCAACAAAGACAUCACCUAGGCCCUGCCCACACAAAUGGAGUAUUUAGGUGACCCUGAUUCAGACCACAUUUUACAUCAGUUCUGGGGUAACCUUUGCUGUUGACCAGACCUUCCAGAACUUCCUCCUCCUUUCCAAAAGGGCUCCAGUCUCCCCAUGGAUGCCUCUUCCUCUGCACAUCGUAGAUGUCGUCACUCAUCUGUGUGAUGUUCAUUUAACGCAGAGUGAUACAGAUAUUAUCGCCUCCGCGAAUAACUUCCCGGAGACGCUGAUCGGCGCUGACGAGCUUGAGCGGUUAAUGCGUGUAACUUUUGAAGACGGAGGCGCCCGCGCAGAUCUGUCAGCGGUGAAUCCGAGAGAGAGUCUUCAAGACAGCGGCGCUGAGGCUCCGAACACGCCGUGUAUUAUAAUAAUCGACAGCGAGGACGAGUUUACCGCACCUCGUCCGGGACCGAGUACAGGAAAUCGACCGAAGGGGAGUAACCAACGCUCUCUGAGCUGUAAGCGAUGGUAUAAUUCGGCACGGAAGACAGGACCGGCGCGAGUCAAUGAUCACCCGGAACCCGGAAAUCAGACACGACCGGGAAGUCAUCCGGACCCUGUGGAUGCUGAUCAUUCAUUGGACGGGU